AUGUAGCCAAGUGGAUC
rnacentral:tRNA from 1 species